rnacentral:rRNA from 1 species
AGCAGCCGCGGUAAUUCCAGCUCCAAUAGCGUAUAUUAAAGUUGUUGCAGUUAAAAAGCUCGUAGUUGAAUUUCGGGGUUAGUAAGUUGGUCGUGCCACUGGUAUGUACUGGCUUUACUGAUUCCUCCUUCUUGUAGAACCGUAAUGCCAUUAAGUUGGUGUUGCGGGGAAACAGGACUGUUACUUUGAAAAAAUUAGAGUGUUUAAAGCAAGCUAACGCUUGAAUACAUUAGCAUGGAAUAAUGAAAUAGGACGUUCGAUCCUAUUUUGUUGGUUUCUAGGAUUGACGUAAUGAUUAAUAGGGAUAGUUGGGGGCAUUAGUAUUCAAUUGUCAGAGGUGAAAUUCUUGGAUUUAUUGAAGACUAACUACUGCGAAAGCAUUUGCCAAGGAUGUUUUCAUUAAUCAAGAACGAAAGUUAGGGGAUCGAAGACGAUCAGAUACCGUCGUAGUCUUAACCAUAAACUAUGCCGACUAGGGAUCGGAUGAUGUUAAUUUUAUAAUGACUCAUUCGGCGCCUUA